UCUUCGCUCUCCGCUCGAAAACUGGAACCAAGUCUCUCUGCGGAUUCGUCGUCAUGCACAAUGCCUAUCUGAGCAUGUAUCCUGGAUCUGAUGAAGACCACUACACUGUCGAUCCUGUCA
rnacentral:ribozyme from 1 species